rnacentral:tRNA from 1 species
GCUUCAAUAGCACAGUGGUAGUGCAGCAUUCUUGUAAAAUGCAGGUCGUAGGUUCAAAUCCUACUUGAAGCU